UGGGGAAUAUUGCACAAUGGACGGAAGUUUGAUGCAGCGACGCCGCGUGGAGGGUGUAGGCCUUCGGGUUGUGAACUCCUUUUUCUCGCGAAAAAGGCACAGUUUUGGCUGUGUUGAUGGUAGUGGGGGAAGAAGCGCCGGCUAACUACGUGCCAGCAGCCGCGGUAAUACGUAGGGCGCGAGCGUUGUCCGGAUUUAUUGGGCGUAAAGAGCUCGUAGGUGGUUCGUCGCGUCUGUCGUGAAAGCCAGCAGCUUAACUGUUGGUCUGCGGUGGGUACGGGCGGGCUUGAGUGCGGUAGGGGGGACUGGAAUUCCUGGUGUAGCGGUGGAAUGCGCAGAUAUCAGGAGGAACACCGAUGGCGAAGGCAGGUCACUGGGCCGUUACUGACACUGAGGGGCGAAAGCGUGGGGAGCGAACAGG
rnacentral:rRNA from 1 species